rnacentral:tRNA from 1 species
GGACUCGUAGCUCAGCUGGUAGAGCAUGCGCGUACAAAGCGUAGGCGGUGUCCAUGCGUGGGUUCGAAUCCCACCGAGGCUA